rnacentral:miRNA from 1 species
AAUCGUUUGAAUGCUCGUCUAA